rnacentral:rRNA from 1 species
AACGAACGCUGGCGGCAGGCUUAACACAUGCAAGUCGAACGCCCCGCAAGGGGAGUGGCAGACGGGUGAGUAACGCGUGGGAAUCUACCUAGUUCUACGGAACAACUGAGGGAAACUUCAGCUAAUACCGUAUACGCCCUAAGGGGGAAAGAUUUAUCGGAAUUAGAUGAGCCCGCGUUGGAUUAGCUAGUUGGUGGGGUAAUGGCCUACCAAGGCGACGAUCCAUAGCUGGUCUGAGAGGAUGAUCAGCCACACUGGGACUGAGACACGGCCCAGACUCCUACGGGAGGCAGCAGUGGGGAAUAUUGGACAAUGGGCGCAAGCCUGAUCCAGCCAUGCCGCGUGAGUGAUGAAGGCCUUAGGGUUGUAAAGCUCUUUCAGUGGGGAAGAUAAUGACGGUACCCACAGAAGAAGCCCCGGCUAACUUCGUGCCAGCCGCCGCCGUAAAAC